AGAGUUUGAUCAUGCUCAGAUGAACGCUGGCGGAAUGCUUUACACAUGCAAGUCGAGCGGCAGCACGGGGGCAACCCUGGUGGCGAGCGGCGAACGGGUGAGUAAUAUAUCGGAACAUGCCCAGUCGUGGGGGAUAACACUUCGAAAGAAGUGCUAAUACCGCAUACGUCCUGAGGGAGAAAGCGGGGGAUCGCAAGACCUCGCGCGAUUGGAGUGGCCGAUGUCAGAUUAGCUAGUUGGUGGGGUAAAGGCCUACCAGGGCAACGAUCUGUAGCUGGUCUGAGAGGAUGAUCAGCCACACUGGGACUGAGACACGGCCCAGACUCCUACGGGAGGCAGCAGUGGGGAAUUUUGGACAAUGGGGGCAACCCUGAUCCAGCCAUUCCGCGUGAGUGAAGAAGGCCUUCGGGUUGUAAAGCUCUUUCGGCAGGAACGAAACGGUGAGCUCUAACAUAGCUUGCUAAUGACGGUACCUGAAGAAGAAGCACCGGCUAACUACGUGCCAGCAGCCGCGGUAAUACGUAGGGUGCGAGCGUUAAUCGGAAUUACUGGGCGUAAAGCGUGCGCAGGCGGUUGUGUAAGACAGGUGUGAAAUCCCCGGGCUUAACCUGGGAACUGCGCUUGUGACUGCACAGCUAGAGUAUGGCAGAGGGGGGUGGAAUUCCACGUGUAGCAGUGAAAUGCGUAGAGAUGUGGAGGAACACCGAUGGCGAAGGCAGCCCCCUGGGCCAAUACUGACGCUCAUGCACGAAAAGCGUGGGGAGCAAACAGGAUUAGAUACCCUGAUAGUCCACGCCCUAAACGAUGUCGACUAGGUGUUCGGUGAGGAGACUCGUUGAGUACCGCAGCUAACGCGUGAAGUCGACCGCCUGGGGAGUACGGUCGCAAGAUUAAAACUCAAAUGAAUUGACGG
rnacentral:rRNA from 1 species